CCUACGGGUGGCAGCAGUGGGGAAUAUUGGACAAUGGGGGCAACCCUGAUCCAGCCAUGCCGCGUGUGUGAAGAAGGCCCUCGGGUUGUAAAGCACUUUCAGUGAGGAAGAACGCCUGGUGGUUAAUACCCAUCAGGAAAGACAUCACUCACAGAAGAAGCACCGGCUAACUCCGUGCCAGCAGCCGCGGUAAUACGGAGGGUGCGAGCGUCAAUCGGAAUUACUGGGCGUAAAGCGCGCAUAGGUGGCUUGAUAAGCCGGUUGUGAAAGCCCCGGGCUCAACCUGGGAACGGCAUCCGGAACUGUCAAGCUAGAGUGCAGGAGAGGAAGGUAGAAUUCCCGGUGUAGCGGUGAAAUGCGUAGAGAUCGGGAGGAAUACCAGUGGCGAAGGCGGCCUUCUGGACUGACACUGACACUGAGGUGCGAAAGCGUGGGUAGCAAACAGGAUUAGAUACCCCUGUAGUA
rnacentral:rRNA from 1 species